AGUGAACGCUGGCGGUAGGCCUAACACAUGCAAGUCGAACGGCAGCACAGUAAGAGCUUGCUCUUACGGGUGGCGAGUGGCGGACGGGUGAGGAAUACAUCGGAAUCUACUUUUUCGUGGGGGAUAACGUAGGGAAACUUACGCUAAUACCGCAUACGACCUACGGGUGAAAGCAGGGGAUCUUCGGACCUUGCGCGAUUGAAUGAGCCGAUGUCGGAGUAGCUAGUUGGCGGGGUAAAGGCCCACCAAGGCGACGAUCCGUAGCUGGUCUGAGAGGAUGAUCCGCCACCCUGGAACUGAGACACGGUCCAGACUCCUACGGGAGGAAGCGGUGGGGAAUAUUGGACGAUGGGCGCAUGCCUGAUCCAGCCAUACCGCGUGGGUGCAGAAGGACUUCGGGUUGUAGAGCCCUUUUGUUGGGAAAGAAAAGCAGCAGGUUAAUACCCCGCUGUUCUGACGGUACCCAAAGAAUAAGCACCGGCUAACUUCGUG
rnacentral:rRNA from 1 species